GUGGCGCACGGGUGAGUAACGCGUGGGGACCUACCUCUUAGUGGGGGAUAACGGUUGGAAACGACCGCUAAUACCGCAUACGCCCUUCGGGGGAAAGAUUUAUCGCUAAGAGAUGGACCCGCGUUGGAUUAGAUAGUUGGUGAGGUAACGGCUCACCAAGUCAGCGAUCCAUAGCUGGUUUGAGAGGAUGAUCAGCCACACUGGGACUGAGACACGGCCCAGACUCCUACGGGAGGCAGCAGUGGGGAAUAUUGGACAAUGGGGGCAACCCUGAUCCAGCCAUGCCGCGUGAGUGAAGAAGGCCUUCGGGUUGUAAAGCUCUUUCAGAUGCGAAGAUGAUGACGGUAACAUCAG
rnacentral:rRNA from 1 species